rnacentral:rRNA from 1 species
CGCAGCCGCGGUAAUUCCAGCUCCAAUAGCGUAUAUUAAAGUUGUUGCAGUUAAAAAGCUCGUAGUUGAAUUUCGGGGUUAGUAGGUUGGUCAUGCCACUGGUAUGUACUGGUCUCACUGAUUCCUCCUUCCUGAUGAGCCGUAAUGCCAUUAAUUUGGUGUUGCGAGGAAUCUGGACUGUUACUUUGAAAAAUUAGAGUGUUUAAAGCAGGCUAACGCUUGAAUACAUUAGCAUGGAAUAAUGAAAUAGGACGUUCGAUCUUAUUUUGUUGGUUUCUAAGAUUGACGUAAUGAUUAAUAGGGAUAGUUGGGGGCAUUAGUAUUCAAUUGUCAGAGGUGAAAUUCUUGGAUUUAUUGAAGACUAACUACUGCGAAAGCAUUUGCCAAGGAUGUUUUCGUUAAUCAAGAACGAAAGUUAGGGGAUCGAAGACGAUCAGAUACCGUCGUAGUCUUAACCAUAAACUAUGCCGACUAGGGAUCGGAUGAUGUUAAUUUUUUAAUGGUCUCA